rnacentral:rRNA from 1 species
AUGGCGAGAGGAAGCGCUGCCCUGGUGGUCGCCGUGGCCCUGGCGGCCGUGCUUAUCCUCGUCGCGCCCGCGGCGGAGGCGGCGGGGCAGAAGAAGCCGGCGACGGCGGCGAGGCGGGAGGACGUGCCGUACAUCCGGUGCCAGGUCUGCGAGCGGAUCGCGCGGGAGAUCUCCGCGCAGGUCGCCGCCAAGCAGCAGGCGCUGCCGCCCUCCAAGAAGGUGCCGGAGAUCGAGAUCAUCGACAUCGCGGAGAAUGUGUGCAACCUGAAGAAGCAGGAGGCGGACUGGAUGCUCCGGAUCGACAUCGUCGAGAAAGGCGACAGGCUCGAGCUUGUGGAUCAAGAUGAGGAAGGGCACUGUAACUCGGAAUGCAAGACCAUUGAGCGUGCAUGCCAGGAGGUGAUGGGUUAUGCUGAUACCGAUGUUGCUGAGUUUGUCUACACAAAUAAGCCUUCAGUUGAUCAGCUGAUACAGUUUGUCUGCAAAGAUAUUACCAAAGCAUGUGCUGCCGAUCCACCACCAGUUCCAAAAGAUCGAAUCCCCGGAGAACCCUUUGCUGCAAAGCCAUCAAAAGACGCCGAAAUGGAGAAAAUAAUGAGAUCAAUGGAGGGCAUGCCGGGAGCCCCAAACAUGAAGAUGUACUCCAGAGACGAUCUGAUGAAGAAUAACUUUGGCGUUGAAGGUGAUGAGGAUGAUGAAGAUGACGAUGAAGACGAGGAUAGCUUACCCAAGAACUUGGGAAACAUUCUGAAAAACAAGGGUCCGCAAAAGAAAGACCUGAAACAACAGGUGGUGAAACAGAUCAAGGAUACCGGCAAGAAACUGAAAGGGCAUGUGAGCAAGGUGUCCAAGGCGGUGAAGAGUUGGUGGAAGGGGAAGAAGAAGCCUGCAAAAUCCAGCAAAAGCGAGCUAUGA